CCUACGGGUGGCUGCAGUGGGGAAUAUUGGACAAUGGGCGAAAGCCUGAUCCAGCCAUGCCGCGUGUGUGAAGAAGGCCUUCGGGUUGUAAAGCACUUUCAGUGGGGAAGAAAGCCUUGGGGCUAAUACCCUCGAGGGAGGACAUCACCCACAGAAGAAGCACCGGCUAACUCCGUGCCAGCAGCCGCGGUAAUACGGAGGGUGCGAGCGUUAAUCGGAAUUACUGGGCGUAAAGCGCGCGUAGGCGGUCUGAUAAGCCGGUUGUGAAAGCCCCGGGCUCAACCUGGGAACGGCAUCCGGAACUGUCAGGAUAGAGUGCAGGAGAGGAAGGUAGAAUUCCCGGUGUAGCGGUGAAAUGCGUAGAGAUCGGGAGGAAUACCAGUGGCGAAGGCGGCCUUCUGGACUGACACUGACGCUGAGGUGCGAAAGCGUGGGUAGCAAACAGGAUUAGAUACCCCAGUAGUC
rnacentral:rRNA from 1 species